CUAGGUAUUCGCGGCCACAUGCAAAAGCUUGCGGCAAUGAUGUAAAAGUUAGCUCCCACGCCAAGACUUGCAGUCACGAUGUAAAAAUUAGCGGCCAGAAUUUCAAAAUUUGCACCUGUGAUGUAAAAAUUUGUGGCCACAAUUGCCUCCGCUAUAUUCAUCCACCGCUUUUGUUGUCGACCAAUGCUAAGAACACAACUGCAUCUAGAACCGUUCGAUGCAUAUAAACCCAUAUACAUCGGACAACUCUGAACACGGUUGUGUCCGGAUCUGUGUUACUACCUUUUGUUUGAAGUCUAGGAAGGGGAAAAGAAUUGAGAGUUACUGAAAAAUCAUUUUGGUUGAGGUACUUUAAAAGAAUCAAUUUUGAAAACA